rnacentral:misc_RNA from 1 species
GUACGUUUGCUCAUCAAAGAUGGCGGCGCCCAGUGGACUCACGUUGGUGAAGUGUUCCGAGAUUUUCCUGGCUAUAAACCUACUUUCGUGAUAACUAAUGAGUUCUGUAUUAUGAAUUCUUUUAGACGAAACUCUGUCAGAUAUUUUUUCUACUAAAAUAGAAGUUUUGGUAAUUUUUAACUUGUGAAAAACAUCUUUGAAGUUAACGUCUGUGUGGCAGACGUAAACGUUGGUAGCAUUAUGACCAUAGAGGGCGCUACAGCAGCACAACGGUGGGCCGGCGACCGAGUUUUGCGAAGAGGAGGACUUUUUCUUCAGUCCAUUUUACUAUUUUAGUGUGGGACUAAACAACUAAAACUUAGAUGAACAAGUUCACCUGGCGAGAUGUCAAAUUUAUCACGGCAAACUGACAAAGUUUUUGAAGAAUUUCACCAAAAGUGGGAAAGGGAACAACAGGAAUUGAAGAAGAAAUUGGUGUUGGAGGACACAGAAUCCUGGCGGCAAGACUUUGGCAGCCUACGGUACAUCGGCGGUGUGGAUGUGUCGUUUGUCAAAACAAGUACCACGCUUGCCUGUGCGUCAUUGGUUGUGUGUGAUUAUCCAGACCUCAAGGUCGUGUACUCUGACUGUGAGCUGGUGCACCUUGACAUGCCUUACAUUCCUGGCUUCCUAGCAUUCAGAGAAGUGGGAUUCUUCCUCAACCUCCUUGACAAAUUGAAAGACACCAACCAUGGCCUAACACCUCAAGUCAUACUUGUGGAUGGUAAUGGCAUUCUACAUCCUAGAGGUUUUGGCAUAGCCAGUCAUCUGGGUGUGCUGAGCGGCAUACCGUGUGUGGGCGUGGCUAAGACACUGAUGCAGGUGGACGGUAUCGCUAAAGAUGAAAAGUUUGCGGCAAAGGUUGCUGAACUCAGUGAUGACGGAGACACCUUCCCGCUGGUGACAGCUUCGGGACAGGUUCUAGGAAUGGCCAUGAGGGGAUGUGACAAGUCAAGCAACCCGAUAUUUGUGUCCGUUGGGCACCGAGUCUCUCUGCAAACAGCCACGGAGCUCGCCAGGCGAUGCUGCAAGUAUAGAGUUACCGAGCCGGUCAGACAGCACGUCUCUCAUCUUGGAACUUGAUAAAAUCCCAAGCAGGUAUUCCAUUGGCAAGUUCAUAUAAAUACUGAAAUCUUGGACCUCUUUGAAAAGGCCGAUAUUCGUUCACGCGAAUUUCUCCGUGACAUGUUCCCGGAGACUGCCCCAAGUAGAAAGCAGCAACCGAAAGCCAAAAAGACCAAAGCUCACGAAGACAUGUCACGC